AGCUUUGCGCAGUGGCAGUAUUGUAGCCAAUGAGGUUUAUCCAAGGCGCAAUUAUUGCUAAUUGUAAACUUUUCCCAACACCCCGCCUUGAUGACUUGAAAUAUAGUCGGCAUUGGCAAUUUUCAACAGUCUCUACGGAGA
rnacentral:snRNA from 1 species